GCCUGUGGGAAACUGGGACCAGGCACGGGUUAGGCCAGUAAAGACUCAGGAAAUUUUACUAUGUGAAGUAAGUGCCACAGUAGAAGCUGCACAAGGAAGGAGAGGCAUCCAUCAGAAUCCAGGAUGAGAAGGAGAAGUCGGUGAAGGGCGGGGGCAGCUGAAGGAGAGUGUUCAGGACAGCAGGCCCCGCUGGUUCAAGGAGUCCAGAGGGGAAACUGGCAAACUCAGGAGCUUCCAGGGACUGUUGGGGCUCAUCCUUCAGCACUCCAACACCGCUCUUGCAGGAAGGCCGUUCCUGAGGCGCCUGCAGCCCAGGUGGAAGGUGAGCCCCCCGAGGCAUGGCGCUGCACUCUUCUCCUGUAAGGCUCUCACUGUGCCGGGCACAGGAUAAGCCUACGGUAAACAUUGAUUGAAAGAAUGAUUGCCAAGAAGAGGGAUGCCAAGAGAGGAGGUUGAAGCGUUAAACAGGCAUUUAAGAACAGAUAGGCUUGUCUCUCACCCCAAGAAUUUGAAAUCCAGGAUCAAUGGGCUCCAAACUGUGGUCUCAUCACUCACCCUGGUGAGUCAGUGCUUUGGGACAUUAACUUCCAACAUAUGCACGUGCCUUAAUGUAUAAACUCACGUGUAUUGCUCUAAUAGAUUAUGUACAUCGUACAAUAUGUACAAAGGAAAUUAGAAAUCUUAUAAAAAAUAGACAGAAAUAGAUAUUCUAACAUGUCCUUCUUGUCCCUCGGCACCAUAUUACACUCCCGCAGGGUAUUCACAUCCCUUUGGAAAACAAUGGGGCCUGGAAAGCCUAGAGCAUUUCAGGAGGAGAAUAAUACACAUUCAGACUUGCAUUUUAGAAUGCUGUUGUGAUCAACCAGGUGAUUCGGCCCACUGCAGUGCCCCACCUACCUCCCCUCCCUGGCACCUCACCCUAAAUCUGUAUCUAGUCUGAUGCCCAGGUACUAAGAGCACAGAAGCAGAUAUUAGCUAUUAGGAUAAACCUAAUUCAUCACUUCUCCUGCCCUCCAGGACUUUAGUCUUUCGUGAAGAGAUACACACAAAGAAUAAAACAGAGAUUAAAGUAUAGUAUUAGUUUUAAGACUUGUAAAGCCGAAUUGAAGAAUAUGGUGAGAUGUCCCGCCUCCACACUGAACACACAAAUCAGACCCAAGUGAGGCUGACUGUCUGACCUAGUUGCAGCUGGCCAUGAUGUAGUGAAGAACUGUCUCUGACUGACCCCUUUACAGCCUGGAGACUAGGAGCAUGGGUCCUUUAUGUGUAUGACCAGGUGGUUCGAAAGACGGAGAGAGCGACGGACCAGCGCUGCUGAAACCCAUGUCCGUGACUGUGCGCCUGGCCAGCAGACCUGUCACGUUCUUGCCUCCCCUCCAGAUGCAUGAGUCAUUGCUCGGGCCCUGGAGGAGCAAGUGGAGGAUGAGAAAUAAACUGGAAUUAGUUCUUAUAGCCUAUCUUCUCCUGACAUUGGAGAAUGAUAAUCCCCUAAUGAUAACAGGAAGAUAAACAAACAAGGGCGGAUCCGCCGACAGCAAGGACAAGAACUCAAACACCGGGAGGUUAAGAGGGAACUCAGGAAGUUCUAGGGUUUUCUUCAGCACCUUCACUAAUAAGAGGCAGCACAGCCGGCAGACUCCUCCGCUCUCUGGGCUGCAGUCUCUCCACCUCUAAAAUAAGAGGUAAUAGCAGGUGAUCUCCAAGGGCCCUUGAAACUCUGACAUUUUAUGGUUUCUAUAAGAUAUUCAGAAAUUAUUCUUGAACUGCCUUUGUCAAAAAGUCGUAAAAUUUAAUAUAAUAUUUUAAAAUCCACUAUUCAAACACUAAUGGACUUAAAUGACAGGGGUGUUAAGAAGAACUAAAUGAAAAGCUCGGGCUUUCUGACCUAAUCAAUCAACAUAAAUGGGCGGCAGAAAGGAGCACAGAGGAUGGACUCCUGAACAUUAUCAGGAAAACUGGCUUUUGAGUUAAGGAGUCAAUCAGAAGAAUCUACCAAUUGUGAAAGUUCUGGUGUUAGGGCUUGUGUGGCCCAGCUUGGAAAGGAAGGAAAACCAAGGAGGAGCAGAUACAGUGAUGGAGGGCAGUGGGCUGUGGAUGCCCUGUGACUGGACAGGCAGUGUGGACAGAGAGCGGCCGCAAUCCAAAAAGGAAGGCCACCAUGUGCUGUGCAGACCGAGGGGCCGGCUGCUGGAAUGUGGGAACACGUCUGAGGGUGAUCCGGUCUGUCCCGGUGAAAUCUUCCUUCCUCUGUUGACUGCUUUAGACGAGCUGGCCCACACAUGGUGCUGACUUUAAAUGCCGACUUUAUCAAGGACUGAUGUUAUAUGUGUUUACAAACGAUUUUUCUAGGCUCAUAAAACAAGCUGAUUCCUCAGGAUGCUGUACAUACAGGGUCAUGGCAUUUGCAAACAAAGACAGUUUUACGACUUCUCUCUGAAUCCGGAUGCCUCUGAUUUUAUGUAUCUGCGACGUAGCACACAAGAAGCAGCAAGUUAAAAGAGGCAACGAAGAUGUCAAGAAUGAGACAGGCAGAGAUCUGACCGACUUGAACAUUCAAAGACACACACAGGCUGAUGUUGUUUACCAUGGAAAGAGCCCUGCACAGCCUCGAGUCCUCUCCUCACAACAUUGCACAACUCUUACGUUCACAAUGAGUUCCUUUAAUUAUCAAGGAGAUGAUAUGUGUACUUGUACAACACUUUCGCUUCCUCUGACAUGUUAGUGUGAAAUGUAUUAGUGAUAGUCUAGAAGUCAGAAUAUUAAUGUUGAAUGGGAUCUUGGUGACCAUCAAGCCCAGCAGAUUUCAAGUCUCUUAGCCACAGGACAAUAUUUCAGACGGUCUAUUAUACAGAAGCCAGACAGUUGAGAGGGGGCAGCUCCCGUUGGGAACAGCGCUGACGUUUGGUAGUUGCGCCCUGUCACAGUGGGGCAUGUCCCUGUGUGGAUGUCCUCCGGCACUCGGAGCUCAGGCAGAGUCUCUGAUAGAGAACACUUCCCCACUUCCACGGCUUGGAGGUGAGAACGUAGGUUUAUUCAAAUCAGCCUCGAUGUAUCAGGGAACCACGCUCAGCCCAACUCUUACUCUGAGGAAGGAACCACAUGGGAUGAGGUUCUUGGAGUUACAAUGAUGGCAUUGAGGUUCAAAUAGUAGUUUAAGCUAAAGAUUGACAAUAUUGAUACCUACCAUUUAUCUGUCACUUGCUAUAUGUCAGGCAUUUAAUCCUCAGGAAUUCUAUGUGAUAAUGACCAUUUCACAUUCCAUUUUCAGAUGAGCAAUCCAGGGCUUGGGAAAGUUAAGAGACUUCCCUAAGCUCACCCAGCUGGUCAGUGGCCAACUGACUUCAAAACUUCUGUCCUGAACGCAAUACUCAUUUGUUUCCCGGAUGUGCUGCAUUACCAAAGUGCAGAGUCCUCGAACGUGAAUUGCUGAGAUGGACAGAUCUAGAGGGACAGGGACUGCUGUCAACCCGGAGCACAGAACCAGGCUCCACGGUGCCCACAGAAUGAGGAGCGUCGUCUGCUCUUUUGUCUUCUUCUCUGACCCUCCUUUUUGCUGAAAAAACGCUUGUUUUCAUCUACUGCCCUUCAGGUCUGACAGGGCAGAUGUGAGUAUUUUUCAUAAAAUGCAGCAGCUUAUCUCCCCUCUCGUCUCACCACUCGCUGAUGAUCCGUAAGGCCCUGAAAGCCAUCCUGCCGGCAAUAUCGGUGCAAUAAGCGAAGCCGCUUCCUAAACAGAUGGGAAUGGGGUUUCUUUGCCACUGGGUGAAAUCGCUUUAAAAAGCAUCAGCGUCAAUGCAGAGGGCAAGUGAGCCGCUGCUGCUGGGAGCCCGGCCGCACGUAAUUCUUGCCGCUUAAAAAUCCAACAUUGCAUUUGCUUCAUCACAGGACCUUGUCCAGCAGCUCAUUUGAGUCUGUUAACUUAAUUGUUCUUUAUUCACAAAUGGGUCGUUCUCUCUGGAAGCAGAGCAAAGCUCAAAUGCCAGUUAAAUACUUUGAUAAAUGCAAUGCCCUCUUGCACUCCGCUACCUCCCAGAGCAUGCUGUGACUGCGCGCACACACACAUGGAUGCUGAAUAAAAUGUGCUUAUGCAACAGGGUCCUGCCGAGGAUUGGAUUUUAGAGAGAGCAAGCCGGGAGAAAAGUGCUUGUCUUUACAUGUAAAUCCUACUAUAGUUACAUACAUUUCUUUUACGAAUGGAUGCCAGGCCUAUGGUAGAGGUGCCCUUAUUCUACAAAAUGAGCUAAUGUUUCAGCAAGAGAACAAUGACAACCAUCUUUGGCAAACCUUUGCCGGGAAGUUCUCCUUUAAAACCGAGUGUAUUUUCCUCACGCAGUCGUUCUCCCCAUUAUUGUUAUUCAUCUCUCAUAAUUAAAAGAGAGAGAUUCCCCAUCGUCUUUGUGUAUCUUGGCCUCCCUUUCUCCUCCCCCCAGCCCCCAACACACAUACCCCGUCUUCUUAGGUGACAUUCUCCUACUUCACCAAACCUGUAACUUUAACAGAGGGUGACAGGGUGACCUUGACGACAGAUGUUCUCAUGGCAACAGAUGGCACUGGCAAACCCGAGAAGCUGCUGCACGCCGUCUCCGUGCCACCUGCGCCUGGUCGGAUUGAGUCCAUCAAUUAUCCAGCUGCCCCAUUCCCUGCACAGCCAGUGGAUGGAUUGGCCCGGGAGGUUUGCUGUGUGCACAACAAUAGGCAAGGGGCCAGUGAGGACGCCGGUGAGAGGCCCUUUCUCCUCUCUUCUGCCUCCCCCACCGCAACCCCCACCCCAUCACUCAUCUAUUUAAUGACUUCAGUGAGUCGAAGGGCUUAAACUGUGAGUUCACCAAAUGACCUUUAAAGACAACCAGCCAUGAGGGCGGCUCACAUGAAAACAAACCGACGCUGCUGCUGCCUCUUACACAGCAUAUCUUUGCAUUUUCUAGUGAUUCUGCCACGUCAGAAGCCGCUCUGGGACAGACACUCAAGGUGUAAUAUGCUCUUUUCUUGUCCCACUUCCAAUCUGGCUUCCCUUUCCACAUCCUGACCCCACCUUUUCUCUUAAUCUUGUGUUUUGUUUGUGCCCAGUUUGAAGAAAUAAAGAUGACUAGUGGGAGGAAAAGUAAAUAAUAUUAAUAAUCAUCAUUGUAACAGCCAUGACUUCCUAAUCUGUUAGUACGUGAAGGAGGGACUUUGUUGAGAACCUACAGUUGCAAUCCUUGAGCUUCUUACCAGACUCACUAUGGAGAGAGUUCUUCCCAUUUUACAGCUGAGGACAUUGAGGCUCAGGAAUGUUCAGGGACACCCCGGCUCUUGCGAUUAGCAAACAGGAGAGCCAAGCUCUGAACAAGGUGAGUGGGCUUUCCACGGCAGGACCAUGCUUCUAGCCACCUGGAGAAUCCACGAUCUGUGUGGCUGGAAACAGUCAACACUGGGAGAUGGGUUUGGGCCCCAACUUGCUUUCUUAACACAGGCAUCUGGCUUGCCUUCUGUGUUCCCAGCUACUAUGAUAAUUAUAUAAUUUAUUAAUAAAGCAGCAUGCGAUCUCCAGUAAGUGGGUCAAGCAUAAGUGUAACCUUUUAUUAUUUUUCAUUAGUACGACAGGGUGGUUGAAGUUGGAACAGUUUGGCCCUGCUCUACCCGAAGAAAGCUGGAGUAUUGUAUGAAAUCAUCAGUGGACCUUAAUCCAGAUGGUGGUGUCAUUUCUAAGAAAUAGCAUAUGCUAGCGAUUAUGAUACUUAAAUGUAAUGGUUUUAUAUCUCUCCAGUGGGCAAAGAAAUCGUACAACAGGCUUUAGUCUAGGAAUUUUUUAAUGUGCUUUAACCCUCCAAAAUAGAGUAUUUCCACAAAGAAAUGCUGUUGAUGGAGCUCAGUCUAAUAAUAAAGGAAUGUAAAUUUCUGCCUUGUUUCACGUAAUAAUAUGACAGCAUCUGGAUUUACUACUCUCUGAGUCUGCUAUUUUACAUAAUGUUGCUGAAUUGGGGACUAUUACAUGCUUUUUUUGAUUUUAGAAAAAUUGUCUUAAAAGUUAUUUACACUCAUUUUAUAACAAAGAGGGCAAUAUAACUAAUUUUGUUCUUAGCAUGAUUAGGCAUGAGUCAUUUCCUAAGAAAUGAGUUUAAUUAACCAGAGAAAGAGAGUUGUAAUAAAUCAUGAAAGUGGACUGUUACUAAGUGGGGUUAAAAGCGUCUUAUUUAAAACUGCCAGCAAAUAAAUCACAAACCCUAAGUUAUGUGUUAAAGGAAGGAAUUUUUCUGAUUUUGAAAAUUUCUGACAAAAGAGAAGAAAGAAGAAAAAAAUGUGUGGCAAGAGAAGUAGGUUAAAUUAGUUGGAAUACUUAAGAAAAUAAUUGCAGUAGGGAGACCAUUACGCUAAUUCAAGUUCUACCAGUUAGCCAUAUGACUUUGGAAACUCAUCUAAUUUCUCUGUACUUUGUUUCUUUCCUUGUACACUAAAGAGACUGAACCCAAUCAUUCUUGAUCAGGGAGUUUGGCUGCCACUAAUGUUGUUCUAAAAUAACACCAGGUCUCUCCCAUUCCAAGUGCAUAGUAGAAGUACAGUCUUCCACCACUUUGAAGUUAAAGGUGGACGUGUGACUUGCUUCAGGCAUGGGGAGUGAGAGUGAUGCAAGGGAUAUGAGAAGUAAUGCAUGGGAUUGAGAAGUGAUGCAUGGGAUUGAGAAGUGGUGCAUGGGAUUGAGAAGUGAUGCUUCCUUUCAGGAAUUAGAGCCAGUGGGCCAACUGCCCGCACCUCAAUCCCACCACUGUUAUUGUCAUAUUAGGAUGUAUGGAGAUGAAGCCUCAGUCAAUAUAGAUCUCUGAGUGACCAGGAUGAUUAAUUUCCCUGCUAACCUAUACUUUCUGGGUGACAUGAGCAUGAGACAAACUUUGGUAAAGUGAAGCCAUUGAGGUUUGUGUGGUUGUAUUUGUCACUGUAGCAUAACUAGCCCAUCCUAUAUAACAGAUGGGUGGAUAUCAGAUUCAUCUAGGGAGAUUUUGCAGUAAAUAUAAGCCAGUGCCCAUUCCAGAACUACUGCAUCUGAAUCUUCUUUUGGGAACUUCAGCUUUAUGUGUUUGUAGGAAGCUUCUCUGAUGACUCUGAUGGAUACUCCUGCUUAGGAAACAUGAGAGAGUCCAUGUACAAGUGGGCCAUGAGCAACAAAAGCUUUGGUAUAGACUUUAACACAUGUUAACCUAAUGGUUAAGAAUAAUAAAAUCUUACAACUCCAUGUUG